CACCAGAUAAGACAGCUGAAUGAUAGUCGGGGCCUGAAGACUCUACUUGACUAGCUGAGAGGAGGUGCAUGGCCGUCGUCAGUUCGUACUGUGAAGCAUCCUGUUAAGUCAGGCAACGAGCGAGACCCACGCCAACAGUUGCCAGCUCGUCCUCCGGGAUGGUGGGGACACUGUUGGGACCGCCUCUGCUAAGGAGGAGGAAGGAAUGGGCAACGGUAGGUCAGCAUGCCCCGAAUUAUCUGGGCUACACGCGGGCUACAAUGGGUGGGACAAUGGGUAUCGACACCGAAAGGUGAAGGCAAUCUCCUAAACCCAUCCGUAGUUCGGAUUGAGGGCUGCAACUCGCCCUCAUGAAGCUGGAAUCCGUAGUAAUCGCGUUUCAACAGAACGCGGUGAAUACCGUCCCUGCUCCUU
rnacentral:rRNA from 1 species